rnacentral:rRNA from 1 species
AUGCACGCUGGCGGCGUGCCUAAUACAUGCCAGUCGAGCGAACAGAUGAGGAGCUUGCUCCUCUGACGUUAGCGGCGGACGGGUGAGUAACACGUGGAUAACCUACCUAUAAGACUGGGAUAACUUCGGGAAACCGGAGCUAAUACCGGAUAAUAUAUUGAACCGCAUGGUUCAAUAGUGAAAGACGGUUUUGCUGUCACUUAUAGAUGGAUCCGCGCCGCAUUAGCUAGUUGGUAAGGUAACGGCUUACCAAGGCGACGAUGCGUAGCCGACCUGAGAGGGUGAUCGGCCACACUGGAACUGAGACACGGUCCAGACUCCUACGGGAGGCAGCAGUAGGGAAUCUUCCGCAAUGGGCGAAAGCCUGACGGAGCAACGCCGCGUGAGUGAUGAAGGUCUUCGGAUCGUAAAACUCUGUUAUUAGGGAAGAACAAAUGUGUAAGUAACUAUGCACGUCUUGACGGUACCUAAUCAGAAAGCCACGGCUAACUACGUG